AUUGAACGCUGGCGGCAUGCCUUACACAUGCAAGUCGAACGGUAACAGGUUAAGCUGCCGCGUGGCGAACGGGUGAGUAAUGUAUCGGAACGUGCCCAGUCGUGGGGGAUAACUGCUCGAAAGAGCAGCUAAUACCGCAUACGACCUGAGGGUGAAAGCGGGGGAUCGCAAGACCUCGCGCGAUUGGAGCGGCCGAUAUCAGAUUAGGUAGUUGGUGAGGUAAAGGCUCACCAAGCCGACGAUCUGUAGCUGGUCUGAGAGGACGACCAGCCACACUGGGACUGAGACACGGCCCAGACUCCUACGGGAGGCAGCAGUGGGGAAUUUUGGACAAUGGGCGCAAGCCUGAUCCAGCCAUGCCGCGUGCGGGAAGAAGGCCUUCGGGUUGUAAACCGCUUUUGUCAGGGAAGAAAAGGUUCUGGCUAAUACCUGGGACUCAUGACGGUACCUGAAGAAUAAGCACCGGCUAACUGCGUG
rnacentral:rRNA from 1 species